rnacentral:rRNA from 1 species
UACGGAGGGUGCAAGCGUUGCUCGGAAUUAUUGGGCGUAAAGGGCACGUAGGUGGUCUCAUUUGUCAGGGGUGAAAGCCUUGGGCUUAACUCAAGAAGUGCCCCUGAAACGGUGAGACUAGAGUGCUGGAGAGGGUCGUGGAAUUCCCGGUGUAGCGGUGAAAUGCGUAGAUAUCAAGAGGAACACCAGUGGCGAAGGCGAGUCCCUGGACAACUUCUGACGCUGAGGCACGAAAGCUAGGGGAGCAAACAGG